AGAGAGAGACAUGCGCGCAUAUCAAUAAGCGGAGGAAAAGAAACUAACAAGGAUUCCCCUAGUAACGGCGAGUGAAGCGGGAAGAGCUCAAAUUUGAAAUCUUAAAGGGUUUCCCUUUACGAAUUGUAGUUUAAAGAAGUGUUUUCUGUUGAGGUUUUGGUAAAAGUUCUUUGGAAUAGGACAUCAUAGAGGGUGAGAAUCCCGUAUUUGACCUUUACUUUCAACUUUGUGAUACACUUUCAAAGAGUCGGAUUGUUUGGGAAUGCAGUCCAAAAUGGGUGGUAAAUUUCAUCUAAAGCUAAAUAUUGGCGAGAGACCGAUAGCGAACAAGUACCGUGAGGGGAAGAUGAUAAGAACUUUGAAAAGAGAGUUAAACAGUACGUGAAAUUGUCAAAAGGGAAGCGUUUGACACCAGUGUUGUUUUUCUGAAAAUCAAUUAAAGAACUGUUUAUGCUAAGUUGUUUAGACUUUAUCAGCUAACUGUUUAGUUUUGAGCUUUUCUUUAAUGCACUUUUCAGUUAACAAGUCAACAUCAAUUUCUUUUGCUGUAAAAAAGCUUGAGGAAGGUGGCUUGAGAUUCGUCUUAAGUGUUUAUAGCCUCUUGCCUAUGCAGUCGGAGAGAUUGAGGUCUGCAGCGUAGAUCCUUCGGGGCUAAAUGCAUUUGUGCUAAGUUAUAGCAUUUUAUAGACAACUUGUUGACUAUGAUUUGUCUUGUAGCUUACUCGCUUAUGUUAUUUUACCUACGCUUAGGAUGUUGACGCAUGAGAUAUACGC
rnacentral:rRNA from 1 species